GAGGCGAAAUCCCGAAAAGCCUAAAAAGAGUAGGGA
ncrna:unclassified sequences DTF805b RNA